GCGCCUACCAUGCAAGAUCGAACGCUCCGCAUGGAGAGUGGCAGACGGGUGAGUAACACGUGGGAAUCUUCCUAUCGGUACGGAAUAGCUCAGGGAAACUUGAGGUAAUACCGCAUACGCCCUUCGGGGGAAAGAUUUAUCGCCGAUAGAUGAGCCCGCGUCUGAUUAGCUAGUUGGUGGGGUAAUGGCCUACCAAGGCGACGAUCAGUAGCUGGUCUGAGAGGAUGACCAGCCACACUGGGACUGAGACACGGCCCAGACUCCUACGGGAGGCAGCAGUGGGGAAUAUUGGACAAUGGGCGCAAGCCUGAUCCGUCCAUGCCGCGUGAGUGACGAAGGUCUUCGGAUUGUAAGGCUCUUUUGCCUCGGACGAUAUUGACGGUACUUGGAAAAAUAAGCCCCGGCUGACUUUGGGCCACGCUGCCGCGGUUGGUACAAACGUGGGCA
rnacentral:rRNA from 1 species